rnacentral:tRNA from 1 species
UCCCUGGUGGCUCAGAGGGUAAAGCAUCUGCCUGCAAUGCAGGAGACCUGGGUUCGAUCCCUGGGUGGGGAA